UUCAAGUGGAAAAUUCAUAUUUUAGGAUAUUUGAGUUGGUACAAACACCACCACAACCUGAUUUUAAGAUUUUGGUUAGCCCCCAGAGAAACUCUGUGCCCAUUAACAGUUACCUCCCAUUCACCCAUAACUCCUGCCCUAGGCAGCUGACCUAAUUUCUGUCUCUAUGGAUCUGUUGGUUCUGGAUGUUUCAUCCAUAAAAUGCAGUCUAGUGUCUUUGGUGUCUGACUUUUUUCCCCUUAGUAUACUUUUGAAGUUCAUAUAUGUUGUAGCAUUUUAUUUCUCCCUCAUUCAUUUUUAAUUGACUCAAUAGUAUUUGAUUGUAUGACUAUAUCACAUUUUGUUUAUCCAUUAAUCACUGGAUAGAUAUUUGGGCUAUUUUCACUUUUUGGCUGUUAUAUUGGCUGCUACCAUGAACAUUUGUAUAUGCAGAUUUUUGUGUGUAGCUGUGUUUUCAUUUCUCUUGGGUAUCUUCCUAGACAUGGAAUUAUUUGAUCAUAUGAAGGGACUUCAAACAGGUUAAUGGUGGGGUGAGCAUUGUGGCACAGUGGGUUAAUCCACUACUUGGUAUGCCUGCAUCCCAAAUUAGAGUAUCUGGAAUUGAGUCUUGCUUCUGCUUCUGAUCUAACCUCCUACUGAUUCACACCCUGUGAUGCAGCCGAUGAUGGCUCCAGUGUUUGGGUCUCUGAAACACUUCGUGGGAGACCUGGUGAGCAUCAGGGAGCUAAUCAGUAAAUGGGAACUCUGUUUCUCUCCCUCCCCAAUUAAAUAAAUCAUAUAAAAAUAGUUCAUGGAAAAUGGAAUUAAAACAAGUGGAUUUUGAUGAAAAUUGAAAUCUUCACAUUUUGUUCAUAAUAUGCAUUCAUCCCCUCAUUCCUUGGUGUGUUUCCUUGACGUCUGACUCCACUCACCUUGCCAGCAUUCCUCUCCACACCUCAGGAGUGUGGCCACUGGGCUGUCUGGGCUCUGGUCUUCAUUGAGCUUAGGACAGGAGAACUCUGUAGAACCCCAUCCACUCCUCCUUUGCCUACUUUGUUGGCUCUAGAGGUCCCCCACAUCCAGCUUGCUUGUCACUUCCUCAGGGAAGUCUUCGCAAAGCCCUCUGAUUCCAUCAUUUUCUUAUACUCUGACACCAUGUGGUCUUCCUUUGGAGCCCUUGUCAGUUACAACUUUACCACCUGUUUGUAAUUUUUAAUGUAACACUUUUCUCUCUUACUGUUGCCAUGAUCCCAGCCAUAUUUGUUUCUCCCAUGCCUCACCUUUAUGUCUCCGGCAUCUACACAGUGCCUGGCUGGUGACAGAAACUCAAUGUAUGUUUGACUAGUGAACAGUUGAAAAUGUCGUCAUCCCCAACUUUAUGAUUAAAUAUGAAGCAGUAUCCACUUUAGCUAAGGGUUUUCUGAUCGUUAUGUCAUGGAAAUACAGAUCAGCCCAAUGGUUAUUAAGAUUGUUCAUUAUGAUGACGCAGAUGUUAACAAAAUGGCACAGCCUUCCCAAAGAGCUCACUAGCAACUAAGCAGAAUUUCUCAACAGCGGAUGAACUCAUGAAGCUUAUCAGACAAUGAGCUCACCAGGGAUGAGAAUAUUGUUUCCCAUGGAACGAGGAAACCCUGGAAUCUGCUACUUAGCUCAGCACUCCACGGUUCAAAGAUGUGUAUUUCUAAGGGUCAGGAUCCCGUGGCCGGGUUUUGAGACAGGACACCUCCAGGAACUUCCUGUCUGAUCCCUGCCUCUGGGGGAUCUAAUUUAAUUAGAUCAGAAUGUCAUCUGAGCUUCUUCUCUCCCUUGCUAAAUGAUGACACAAGAGGAUUUUUAAAAAGAAACAUCCUUCCUCCCCCAUUGUAUUUUAGGGACUAAGGAGGAGCUGCAUAGAGCGCACUAGGAGCAAGGUCUAGCUACCUUCUGAACUCUGAAACUUCCUCCUUCCAGCUUUCUAAACUCCUGGACAGGAAGCCUUUUCAAGGAACCACAGCACGCUUCUCCACACCAAUUUACAAAUGAGAAAAGCUACCAGGCCCAGGUCACAGAGGGGGCCUCUGAGGGGAGCUACUGAAGUUAGAUGAGUGCGUGAUGUGACUGGACAGUGCUUUCCGUUUCUAAAAGUAAGCAGUUCUCCUAAUCCUGGCCAAAGUGAGUCCAGAACCUUCCCAACUCUAUGAGGCACCUGGUACUUUCCAGCAGUUCUUGGGCUGAUUCGAAUCAUCCUUCUCAGCCUACACGCAAUGCUCAGGCAGCCUCUGGUGGCUGCAGGUCCUGGAGUCUGAAGGUCUUGAGAGUGAUGGAACUGCUUUGUAAGUUGGUAAUAAUUAUAAUUUGUAAUAAAUAAUAAAAUUAUAAAUUAUUGGAUUGUAGACUUUUCGCAAAUGCUUGACCUGGCCCUUACCUCUCCUCAGUGCGACUCUGUGGGAUGGAGUUAGGGAGGGGCAUUGUGCGUGGGCAGGUGCAGUGGCGCGGUGUGGUAAGCUGAGUGCAGGUAGCUCGGAGGCCGAUGGCCUUUCUUUGCCGCAGGUCUGCCCCUGCGUCCACCCCUACACUUCCCAUUUCAGGUGAGCAGAGCCCUCUGCCCUCCUUCCAACACCUCGCUGGGUCAUUAGGGCUGGAAAUCCCCUGUUACCUCUCCCAGGUGUAUUGGAAUCCAAGGCCUGCAUUCCGAUGUGGGAUAAAAGACACCUUUCAGAGCUCCCCACAGGCUGGUGGGCGUUCGGGUUUGAAGCCAGGGAGGGGCGGCCUCCCGCGGUGGCCCUGAAACAGCGCUCCUGGGACGAGAGCCCCCUCCGGUGUGGAAGGCCAGUCUUCCCGUCGGCGUUUCCUGGGGUAGGGAGCCGAACUGGACGCUGCUGCUAGGGGACCAGAACCUUAGGCAGCCUUCAGUUCUCCCCUUGAGUAGGAGCAACCUACAACACUGCUACCUGAGAAGCACUUGGGACAUUUGGAAAGUCGAGGGCUGGUGAGGAGAGGCUGUAAGGGAUUCCUUUUGGGGCGGGAAUGAGACGUCUUAAACAGGCAUUUCACGCAGUUGCUGGGACCCUGGAGGGCGUCCCUUUUCAGUGGGUGUAGUUCCCAGGUUGUCCACAAGAUGGUGCAGAUACGCCGCCCACAGCUGGUACUUCGCUGAAAACGCCUCUCACGGUUUGCUGCUUUUGCCAGAUCCCUGGUGCAGUAAAUUGAUAAACUGGUUUUGCGGGCAGGAUGAAGCCUUCACUGUGGUGAUUAUACCUUUGACAUUUUAAGCAUUUUGAUUGACUAUUCAAUUAAAAAUGUAUCGCAUUCCCAGUAAGCUAAAUGAAAUGACAAAUGUGUACAAAACUCAGCCGCGUGGUUGCCUAGGCAAUCUGUGCAGGAGGUCAUUGUCCGACAGGGAGCUGCAGGAGAACUGAGCGAGAUAUUAUGCAAGCGCCUCCUGUUUCUGGAGAACUUGAAGCCAACUGGGGAUUGGGUCACUCAUCACAGUGGGCACUUCCUUCGGACACCGCUGGUCUGGAUGCUGGGGGGACAGUGAUCAGGAAAGUCCCGGUGCUCAGAGACCUUGCACCCUGUGGAGAGAACCACAGGGACAGAUUCCAUAGGAGAAAUUAGUAGUGUGCCGAGUGGUGGCGCACCACGGGGAAAGUAUUAAAACCUGCAAAUAGAGGUGGAAGGCGAGACUUUAAAACAGCGUGUCAGAGACCUGAAGGAUUGUGGGGCGAACCAUGGGGAGUCUUGGCUAAGGUCCUGAUGUGGGAAGAUGCCUGGCAGACUCCAGGAAGGUCCAGGAGGCCAACGUGGAAGGGAAGAGGCCGUGUGCAAGGUCAGGGAGGCCACUGCUGGCAGCAGCGGGCAGGCGACGUGAGGCAGAGUGACAUGGUUGGGGGCAGAGCAGGGGCUUUGGAAGCAGAUGGAUCACAUAGAACUUACAGGGCACGAUGAGACUUUGGGUUUACGUUGGCACUGAUGGGAAAGCUCUGUGCUGAGAAGAAGAGUGGCGAGAUCUGACUUCCUUGGUAAGGUUCACGCUGGCUCCAGCAUUGAGAAGUAGGUAAGAGCAGGAGCGGGGAAGUAUUAGGAGAAGUCUGCCAUGUUCCAGGUGAAGGAUAGAGGUGGCUGGAAGCCACUGCGACAGCAGCCGGAAUGGAGAACUGUGGUCACGGUUUGAGUCGCUUUUGCGUUCAUAGAUUUGAUGAUAGAUCAUGUGACUAUUUAAG